rnacentral:rRNA from 1 species
AGUGAACGCUGGCGGCGUGCUUAACACAUGCAAGUCGAACGCGAAAGGGUAGCAAUACCCGAGUAGAGUGGCGAACGGGUGAGUAAAAUGUGGGUAAUCUAGCUUUCAGAGGGGGAUAACCCGGGAAACCUGGGCUAAAACCGCGUAACAUAUCGGGGAUUACGGUUCUUGAUAUCAAAAGCAUGGCCUCUAUUUAUAAGCUAUGGCUGGAAGGUGAGCCCACAACCUAUCACGCUUGUUGGUGAGGUAAAGGCUCACCAAGGCGACGACGGGUAGCCGGCCUGAGAGGGUGUCCGGCCACACUGGAACUGAGACACGGUCCAGACUCCUACGGGAGGCAGCAGUGGGGAAUUUUUCGCAAUGGGCGCAAGCCUGACGAAGCAACGCCGCGUAGAGGAUGAAGGCCCCUCGCGGUCGUAAACUCUUGUCUAGCGGGACGAAAACUUCCNUACGGAAAUACUGUAUGGAAUUGACUGUACCGCUGGAGGAAGCUCCGGCCAACUCCGUGCCAGCAGCCGCGGUAAUACGGAGGGAGCAAGCGUUACUCGG